rnacentral:rRNA from 1 species
UACGUAGGGGGCGAGCGUUAUCCGGAAUUACUGGGUGUAAAGGGAGCGUAGACGGCAGGGUAAGCCUGGAGUGGAAGCCCGCGGCCCAACCGCGGAACUGCUUUGGGAACUGCCCGGCUGGAGUAUGGGAGGGGUAAGCGGAAUUCCUGGUGUAGCGGUGAAAUGCGUAGAUAUCAGGAGGAACACCGGUGGCGAAGGCGGCUUACUGGACCAUAACUGACGUUGAGGCUCGAAAGCGUGGGGAGCGA